CGUGGAGAACCUGCCGUAUACUGGGGAGUAACACUUAGAAAUAGGUGCUAAUACCGCAUAAGCGCACAGCUUCGCAUGAAGCAGUGUGGAAAACAAAAAGCUAAAGCUUUUGGUGGUAUACGAUGGAUCCGCGUCUGAUUAGCUAGUUGGCGGGGUAAAGGCCCACCAAGGCGACGAUCAGUAGCCGGCCUGAGAGGGUGAACGGCCACAUUGGGACUGAGACACGGCCCAAACUCCUACGGGAGGCAGCAG
rnacentral:rRNA from 1 species